rnacentral:rRNA from 1 species
GACGAACGCUGGCGGCGUGCUUAACACAUGCAAGUCGAACGGAGUGGCGAACGGGUGAGUAACACGGGGGUGACCUGCCCUGCACUUCGGGAUAAGCCUGGGAAACUGGGUCUAAUACCGGAUAGUGUGGGAUGGGCCCGCGGCCUAUCAGCUUGUUGGUGGGGUAAUGGCCUACCAAGGCGGCGACGGGUAGCCGGCCUGAGAGGGUGGACGGCCACAUUGGGAGUGGUACACGGCCCAGACUCCUACGGGAGGCAGCAGUGGGGAAUAUUGGACAAUGGGGGGAAGCCUGAUGCAGAGACGCGGCGGGAAUA